UUUAACCAUAGCUCAUAUUCAAAGACAAAACCUUCAGAACCAUAUUCAAAUAAGAUUAGCAUGGCCUUUGCCCAAGAAUGACAUGCACAAAUUGAGAAAUGUCCAAAUUGUUU
rfam:Brassica oleracea var. oleracea cultivar TO1000 chromosome C7, whole genome shotgun sequence